AUACGUAGGGUGCAAGCGUUAAUCGGAAUUACUGGGCGUAAAGCGUGCGCAGGCGGUUUUGUAAGACAGUGGUGAAAUCCCCGGGCUCAACCUGGGGACUGCCAUUGGGACUGCAAAGCUGGAGUGCGGCAGAGGGGGAUGGAAUUCCCCGUGUAGCAGUGAAAUGCGUAGAUAUGCGGAGGAACACCGAUGGCGAAGGCAAUCCCCUGGGCCUGCACUGACGCUCAUGCACGAAAGCGUGGGGAGCAAACAGGAUUAGAUACCCUGGUAGUCCACGCCCUAAACGAUGUCAACUGGUUGUUGGGGAUUUAUUUUCUCAGUAACGAAGCUAACGCGUGAUGUUGACCGCCUGGGGAGUACGGCCGCAAGGUUAAAACUCAAAUGAAUUGGCGGGG
rnacentral:rRNA from 1 species